AAUAUUGCACAAGGGUCGCAAGCCUGAUGCAGCGACGCCUCGUUGGGGAUUACUGCCUUUGGGUUGUAAACUCCUUUCGACAGGGACGAAGCUUUGGUGACGGUACCUGUAAAAGAAGCACCGCCUAACUACUGGCCAUCAGCCGCGGUAAUACGUAGGGUGCGAGCGUUGUCCGGAAUUACUGGGCGUAAAGAGCUCGUAGGUGGUUUGUCGCGUCGUCUGUGAAAUCCCGGGGCUUAACCUCGGGCGUGCAGGCGAUACGGGCAUAACUUGAGUGCUGUAGGGGAGACUGGAAUUCCUGGUGUAGCGGUGAAAUGCGCAGAUAUCAGGAGGAACACCAAUGGCGAAGGCAGGUCUCUGGGCAGUAACUGACGCUGAGGAGCGAAAGCAUGGGUAGCGAACAGG
rnacentral:rRNA from 1 species